AUGGGCAUUCUCUGCCAACACAUCGGCCGCCAGGUCAUAGUACUGAUGCUUGCAGUAGAGGAGCAGCAAGUUUCCGAAAGUUUCUGGCGGAAAGGGGUUCUGCAGCAGGAGAAACUGCAGUUUUUCAAACCCUUCGGUGGGCUGGCUGUCCAUGUUCAUCAGCGCUUGGUUGUGCAGCGUGACCGGGUCCAGCUCCUCCUCCGCCCGGGGCGGCAUGUCGGUGAGCGCCUCCUGGGCGGCCUUCAGGUUGUGCAGCUGGUACUCGAUGGCAGCCUUCAGGUUGAAGGCCUCCACCAGGGCCGUGCGGUGCAGGAGCAGUGUGUUGCCCACGCUGCGGACGUCGAUGCCCUCGGUGCUCAUGCCCACGCUGAGCUCGGGGUGCUGGUGGAUGCCGCGCUCUAUUAUGUCGGAGAUGUGCUUGAGGGCGGGGGCGUACUGCUUGGCGGCGUAGCAGCACAGCGCCAUGUUGUAGGACAGCUCGGGGCAGCAGCCCAGCACCUGCAUGGCACCGGCAAACUUCACGCCGGCCUCCUCGUGCCGGCCCUGCCGGUACAGCAGGCAGCCCAGGUUCACCUCGGCAUCAGCCCGCUCCGAGGGGUCCUGGGCCGCCCCGGGACCACCGCCCUCGGUGGCGGCAGCCAGCGCCUCCUCCACCAGGCUCUCGGCUGCGGCCAGGUCGCCCUGCGCGUAGCGGACGGCAGCCUGCAGCCGCAGCACGCGGCCCUGGUACGCCGGCAGCUCCAGCAGCGGCCCGGCGGCUCGCAGGGCCUCGCCGUACAGCCCGGCCUUGUGCAGGGCCUGCGCCCGGUACAGGCGGUAGGCGUCGAGCUCGGGGUGCAGCGCCGAGAGCUGCUCGUAGCACUCCGCCGCCGCCGCGAAGUCCUGCAGCUGGUAGUGGCAGUAGCCCAGCAGCGAGAGGCCGCCCCGCGAGCGGCCGCCCCUCUGCAGCUCGCGGCUCAGCAGCGCCGCCGCCUCGGCGCAGCGCCCGCCGCGGAUCAGCCCGUACACCGCCGCCGUGUACUGCCCCUCCGCCACCGCCGCCUCCAUCGCCGCUGCCCCGGCGACGGCGCCGCGCCCCGGAACGGCUCCGGCAGGCGGCAGCGGGGAGUGCCGGGAGCUGUAGGCGCCGCCACCCGGGGCGGGGACCCCGCCCCGCUGCUGCUGUGCUGCUGCUGCUGCACGGCCCGGGAGGGAAGGGGCGCUGCACGGCACGGCCGGGGUGCUCUGCUCGCCACUGCGGCAGUGGCCGAACUCAGCUCUCUGUGCUUAAUCCAGCAGCUGCCCGAAGUCACCCAAAAUCACCAAAAUGUAUAA
rnacentral:lncRNA from 1 species